rnacentral:rRNA from 1 species
UACGGAGGGUGCAAGCGUUGUUCGGAAUUACUGGGCGUAAAGAGCGUGUAGGCGGUUGAUUAAGUCAGGUGUGAAAGCCCUUGGCUCAACCAAGGACGUGCAUCUGAAACUGGUCUACUUGAGUACGGGAGAGGAGAGUGGAAUUCCUGGUGUAGAGGUGAAAUUCGUAGAUAUCAGGAGGAACACCGGUGGCGAAGGCGACUCUCUGGACCGAUACUGACGCUGAGACGCGAAAGCGUGGGGAGCAAACAGG